GUGACGGUAGCUCAAUGGUAGAGCGUGGGGUUAAUAGCCCUGAGGUCGCUGGUUCAAGUCCAGCUCGUCGCA
rfam:Aphanomyces invadans strain NJM9701 unplaced genomic scaffold supercont1.56, whole genome shotgun sequence.